AACGAACGCUGGCGGCAGGCUUAACACAUGCAAGUCGAGCGCUCGUAGCAAUACGAGAGCGGCAGACGGGUGAGUAACGCGUGGGAACAUACCCCUAGGUUCGGAAUAACUCAGGGAAACUUGAGCUAAUACCGGAUACGGCCGUCGAUCGAGAGAUUGGCGGACGAAAGAUUUAUCGCCUGGGGAUUGGCCCGCGUCCGAUUAGCUAGUUGGUGUGGUAAUGGCGCACCAAGGCGACGAUCGGUAGCUGGUCUGAGAGGAUGAUCAGCCACAUUGGGACUGAGACACGGCCCAAACUCCUACGGGAGGCAGCAGUGGGGAAUAUUGGACAAUGGGCGCAAGCCUGAUCCAGCCAUGCCGCGUGAGUGAUGAAGGCCUUAGGGUUGUAAAGCUCUUUCACCCACGACGAUAAUGACGGUAGUGGGAGAAGAACGCCCGGCUAACUUCGUGCCAGCAGCCGCCGCAGUAA
rnacentral:rRNA from 1 species